GAUCACUCGCCUUCUGGCUUACUCUUGCUAGGAAGUGCAAACCAGAGCUGUUCCUAUUCGGCCAUCUUGGCAGAAGUCCACUCUUGAUUCCUAACACAGAUUAGUUCUGCCAGUUCUAGUUGAAUGGUAUUAUGUAGUCACCAUCAUGUCCCUGGGUCUCACCAUCUUGACGUGUGUGGUCGUAGCCUAUUCACUCCCAUGGCUGUCCAACAUUCCACUGUAUAAUAGCUCACACUUCUCAUCCCUUCACUAUUGAUAGACAAUUGUUUUGUAUCCCGAUCCUACAAAUCGUGCUGCUAUGAAUAAUAUUUUUAUGUAUUUUGGCACACAGAUACAUACAUUUCUAUUGGUUUAUAACUAAGAUUGCAAUUGCUAGGUCAUAGGUGAGUAGAUGCUUGUCUUAGUCUCUCAAAAAACAAGUUUCUAGUAGUAAACAAAUAGUAGAGGAGGGUAAAUCUCUUACUUUAGAAAUUAUUAGAUAAGUGAGGAAGGAAUGAGAGAUUUAGACUAUAAUAACUCUUUUGCAACCCAUCAUGAAUUAACAGAUUUAACCAUUGAAUAGCAAUGACAAGUAAUAACAAUACUAGAAAAAACUAAUGUUUGGUUCUUCCUCUUGAUGGAAGAACAGAAUCCAGUACCAUGAAACAAGUCCAAGUGAAAAAUAAAUCAAGACUGAAUCUCAGCUAACCUCCAUGGCCAAUUACCAAUUUACAGGCAAUACAGGUAAUACAAAUACAUAUUCAACUAUGCCUUGGGGAGCAAUCAGCAAAAUACACACUAUGGGAAUCUCUACCACACAAUAUACAUUUCAAUGAGAAUCUAUAGAAUAAAAGAGAAAAAGCAUAUUUCUAAAGGAAAGUUGAUUCAACCUGGUGUCCAGUGAAGAAAUCCCAACUGCAAAGGAGAGGUGGAUCUCAGGGCUGUGCGUGAUCUGCAAAAGGAAGCACAUGAACCAUCAGGUAGCGCUGCUGCGCUGCUUCUGCUCCCAGGAGGUGGAUGUCCAGGAUGAGCUUUAAGGUGGAGAGAGGGAUGUCAUUGCUCAUCCUCCAGGUUCCAAGUAAAAACCUUUCUGCCCAGUCCAUCUUGUUCUCCUUGAAUCCUCAAGGCCAAUGAGGACCGUCUCCUCACCUCCUUGGACUAGGCUUUUUAACACUGGAAAGUGGAUGCGAUUUCUAGUUUCAGCAUGUUCUGGUUUAUUGCCCUGCCAGUAAAAUAAAAUCAAAAUAUACAUCGAAUAAAUAACAACUAAAAUAA